CUGCAAUUAUUUUUCUCAACAUUUUUUAUUUGCUGAAUAAGAGAUGCAGAUAUCUUUGCCUUAGAAAUCUUCUAGCAACAAAUUGUUUCUUUUUAUUAUAGAGCAGAAUCAUAAGUAACACAGACCAGACAAUGGCAAGAUGAAACUGCUGAAUCGUUGAAGCAGAUGAAUAGAAUUAAUCUUGAAAUUAUUCUCUGAAGAGAACAAUCAGGAGGCAGAAAUACACAACACAUGAAGUGUACACAAGACACUUAUCCAUCAGCUGUUGGUAUUGCACUUGCAAUGUUCUGUAGAGCCUUCUGGCCAUUGCUGCCUACCCUAACACAGGAGGAAUACAGCUAAAAGAAACUGCAGGCAAAUCCAAGAAGAUAAUUUACCAGGGGAGAUAUCUCAGAAAUCCCAUGCAACUUUACAAUAGAGACUCAU
rnacentral:lncRNA from 1 species